rnacentral:rRNA from 1 species
UUUGAUCCUGGCUCAGAAUCAACGCUGGCGGCGUGCCUCAGACAUGCAAGUCGAACGAUUAAAGCUCUCUUCGGAGAGUGCAUAGAGUGGCGCACGGGUGAGUAACACGUGAGUAAUCUACCCUCGAGUGGGGAAUAACGUCCGGAAACGGGCGCUAAUACCGCAUAACGCAGCAGCACCGUAAGGUGACAGUUGUUAAAGAUUUACCGCUUGAGGAGGAGCUCGCGGCAGAUUAGCUAGUUGGUGGGGUAAUGGCCUACCAAGGCGACGAUCUGUAACCGGUCUUAGAGGACGGUCGGUCACACUGACACUGAAUAACGGGUCAGACUCCUACGGGAGGCAGCAGUCGGGAAUUUUGGGCAAUGGGGGAAACCCUGACCCAGCAACGCCGCGUGAAGGAUGAAGUAUUUCGGUAUGUAAACUUCGAAAGAAUAGGAAGAAUUAAUGACGGUACUAUUUAUAAGGUCCGGCUAACUACGUG